rnacentral:lncRNA from 1 species
GAAAAGGACAGAGGAGGCUCCUCCAGUGCCUGCCGGGGUAGACCCUGCCGGCCUCUCCGGCUGGGAGUCCCACAGAUGGAGCAGCCAGGCUCAGGCCAGGCUGUCAGGAGCGAACAAGCGGCUGCCAGCAUGAGUAAUGAUUUAAAGGAGAAGGUUGAGACGUAGCUGAGAUGAAUACCACUGACUCUGCUGCCAUCCUGGAAGCGAUCCAUCAGGGCGGCUUGGCAAAGAGGGGCAUAAAUCCCCAGCCAGCGAGGCCAAGCAGGGCUCUGCGAGGAGGAGUGGGACCUGAUGGCAGCUUCCAGGGUUGCCUCCGGCUGGGCAGGAGCCAGCAACGUGGAAGCUCCUGGCAGAUUACAUCCUGGAUGGUAACAUCAUAUAGAACACGUACAAUCCAUGGAUCUUGGAAUAGUGAAGAGAGAGCCCUGGGUCAAGAAGGAAGAAACCUAAGUUAAAAUUAUGAUUUGAUUCUUACCAGUUUUGUGCUCCUGGAAAACCCUUUGGACUUUGAUUUCCUCAAAAGGUACAUGACAAUUAUCUUAGUCAAUUCUGACUACUCUAACAGAAUAUCAUAGGCCAUGUGGUUUAUAAACCACAGAAAUUCAUUUCUCAAAGUUUUGGAGGCUGAGAAUUCCAAGGUCAAGUUGAACACUUGAUUUGGUGUUUGGUAAGAGCCCACUUUCUGGUUCAUAGACCCAGAAGCCAUCUUCUCACUGUGUCCUCACAUGAAGGAAGGGAUGAGGGAGCUCUCUGAAGUCUCUUUCCUAAGGGCACUAAUUCUGUUCACGAGGGCUCCACCCUGUAACCUAAGUACCUCCCCAAUGCCCCGCCCUUUAAGACCAUCACAGUGGGGGUUAGGUUUCAAUGCAUAAAUGUAGCAGGG